GUGUCAGCAGCCGCGGUAAGACGAACCGUGCGAACGUUGUUCGGAUUCACUGGGCUUAAAGGGCGCGUAGGCGGGCCACUCAGUCCGGGGUGAAAUCUUUCGGCUUAACCGGAAACGUGCCUUGGAGACGGGUGGUCUGGAGGGAGAUAGGGGCAGGUGGAACUUCCGGUGGAGCGGUGAAAUGCGUUGAUAUCGGAAGGAACGCCGGUGGCGAAAGCGACCUGCUGGAUCUCUACUGACGCUGAGGCGCGAAAGCCAGGGGAGCGAACGGGAUUAGAAACCCCCGUAGUCC
rnacentral:rRNA from 1 species